AGCAGCCGCGGUAAUUCCAGCUCCAAUAGCGUAUAUUAAAGUUGUUGCAGUUAAAAAGCUCGUAGUUGAAUUUCGGGACCAAUUUGUUGGUCGUGCCUCGGUACGUACUGAUAUUAUUGGUUUCUCCCUUCUGAAGAACCAUGAUGCCAUUAAUUUGGUGUCGUGGGGAAUCAGGACUGUUACUUUGAAAAAAUUAGAGUGUUUAAAGCAGGCUUUCGCUUGAAUACAUUAGCAUGGAAUAAUGAAAUAGGACGUUUGAUUCUAUUUUGUUGGUUUCUAGGAUCGACGUAAUGAUUAAUAGGGAUAGUUGGGGGCAUUAGUAUUCAAUUGUCAGAGGUGAAAUUCUUGGAUUUAUUGAAGACUAACUACUGCGAAAGCAUUUGCCAAGGAUGUUUUCAUUAAUCAAGAACGAAAGUUAGGGGAUCGAAGACGAUCAGAUACCGUCGUAGUCUUAACCAUAAACUAUGCCGACUAGGGAUCGGAUGAUGUUAAUUUUUAAUGAACUCAU
rnacentral:rRNA from 1 species